GGGAAAUUGAGGAUAGGAAGUCACGGCCACUUGGUUCUUGGGACACUGUAUAGCAGUGAGCUGCCUUGCCUCUGCCACCUGUCGGUGGGAUGGGGCUGCUGGUGCCUGGGGUCCCCUGUGCUCCCCCGGAACCGAAAGGCUGUUCCCUAGUCCCCGCCGGCAAAGAGCCCACCUUUGGGGGACCGAAGUGGGGAAGCUGAUUGCCCCAAGAGAGGCCUGAUUCUUGUUCUCACCAGGAGAUAAUGGUCCUUGUGGUGAGGGGUCACUUUCCCCCCUUUAUCCAGUCCAGGUGGAGGGCCGGCCCACACUGCGGGAAUCCGAAAGAGGGGCUUCCCUAUGGGCUGUCUGGGGACCCCGGGCUGGGCGCGAAGAGAGGACCGGCUUGGCGGCUCGGUGCUGCCCCCUGGAGGUUCCCUCUCCACUCCCAGCCCCGGACUCCGGCCGCGCGGGCUCUUCCGCCGCCUCCUCGCUCCUCCUCCCGGAUGCGGCGCUGGGCGCGGAGCCAGGCCGGGGGAGCCUUCGACGCAGUGAGCACGAACUGAGCAGGCGCUGCAGCCCGGGCUCCCCCUGCAGUCCCUGGGGAGCCGUCACUGCCGAGGCGCCCAGACUCCGGGAUAACACUCCUCACCCCGAGCCUGGCCAAGGCGAGGGGGAGAAGGAAGCAGGGGGUGGGUGGUGGCGAGGGAGAA
rnacentral:lncRNA from 1 species